GGUCCUCUUGUGGUCAGUGACGGCGUGUCAUCACCUAUAAACGACAAAGUGUACAGACGAGGGAUGGAGGAGCUGGGAUACAAGACAGUGGACUGUAAUGGGGAGUCUCAAACAGGAUUUUGCUUUGGUCAAGAAACGGUCAGAAACGGAGAGAGAUGGAGUACGGCCAAAGCGUUUCUAAGACCUGCAAUGAAUCGUCCCAAUCUCCACGUGUCCACAAACUCUUAUGUUACAAAGAUAUUGAUCGAAAAAGGAAAAGCAGUCGGUAUAUGGCUUGUAAAGGACAAUGUUAAAUAUACCGUCAAAGCACGUAAAGAGGUCAUACUUUCUGCUGGUGCUGUAAACAGCCCUCAGAUUCUGAUGUUGUCAGGAAUUGGACCAAAAGAGCACCUGUCUUCGUUAAAGAUCCCAGUCAAAGUUGAUUUACCCGUAGGAAACAACUUGGAGGAUCACUUGAUGCUUUUCAUGAUAUUUCGAGAUAACACAUCCUCGGGGUUCAACCCUUCUGAUUGGGCUGAUUUGCAGUAUAAACUAUUCAGAUCAGGUCCUUUUGGAAAAGUACACUUGGAGGCUAGUGCAUUUUUUGGUGAGGGCAGGAAAGUUCCUCCCUACUUUCAAGUUUUAUUUUACACGAUUCAAGCUCGCACAGAAUAUGCAAGGGCGUUUCAAGGAAUGUAUAACUAUAAUCCUCAGAUAAUAGAGGGGAUGGCCAAUUUCUAUAAAAGUAUAUUAGAGAAAGACGAAGGAAUGUUCAUGGCAUGCAAUGGUCUUCUCCAUCCUAAAAGUAGAGGAACAAUUCGACUCCAGAGUGCAGACCCGUUUGAUCCGCCUCUUAUUGAUCCCAACUAUUUAGAUCACCCGGAUGAUGUAAAGGAUUUCUUAAAAGGGUUGAAAGAAAUGCUGCGAUUAGCUAAUACCACGGCAUUUCGAUCUGUGGGUGCCUCACCAUCUGACCCUUACAAAGAGUACUACCCGCCCUGUAACUCCCUACCCUACCCCUCAGAUGAGUACUUGACAUGUAGACUAAGACAUUAUGUGUACACUAUAUACCACUCAACGUCAACGUGUAGGAUGGGAAAAGAUGACGACGAUACUGCUGUAGUCGAUCUACAACUGAGAGUUAAAGGUAUCAGCAAUCUCCGAGUAGUGGACGCUUCCGUCAUGCGCCAUGUAACUUCCGGAAAUACCAACGCUCCUACCAUUAUGAUAGCGGAAAAAGCGGCAGAUUUGAUUCGAGGAAUAGAUAGUGUGAAAGAUAUCCGGAAAAAGACGGAGUUGUUGUAGAGCUUUGUACAGAAAUAUUAUUUUUAUAGAGAAUAUUAAAUCCUUCUAUAGAUAUGUGUUUUUUGGUUCAACAUAUUCAUAAGGUCUUUUCAAUACUUUAGUUUUCUCAAAUUACUCGUUGUCCAAUUUAUAUUAAAUGAAAAGAAAAAUGAUACCAAAUUGUAUAAUGUUUUUUCUUUAUAUCUAUAUUAUUAUCUCCUUAUAGAAUAAAAAAAAAUAUGUUAUCAAAUU
rnacentral:misc_RNA from 1 species